rnacentral:rRNA from 1 species
GACGAACGCUGACGGCGUGCUUUAGACAUGCAAGUCGAACGAGAGAGCCCUUCGGGGUUAGUAAAGUGGCGAACGGGUGAGUAACACGUGGGCAAUCUGCCCUUCGUUGGGGGACAACCGGGGGAAACCCCGGCUAAUACCCCGUAGGCUUGUCGGUUCGCAUGGCCGGACAGGGAGAGGUAGCUUCGGCCAUCGGCAGACGGGGGGGCCCGCGGUACAUGAGCUAGUUGGUGAGGUAAAGGCCCACCAAGGCGACGAUGUAUAGCUGGUCUGAGAGGAUGAUCAGCCACACUGGGACUGAGACACGGCCCAGACUCCUACGGGAGGCAGCAGUCGGGAAUCUUGCACAAUGGGCGAAAGCCUGAUGCAGCAACGCCGUGUGAGCGACGAAGGCCCUAGGGUCGUAAAGCUCUGUUGUUAGGGACGAAGGGCGAAGGGUUAAUAGCCCUUAGCCUGACGGUACCUUUCGAGGAAGCCCCGGCUAACUACGUGCCAGCAGCCGCCGUAA